AGACUUGGUCGUAGAGCAACGACCAACACAAAGGUUGGGUAACGACCCUUUGAUUUAAAGAACGCUCACCAAGA
ncrna:unclassified sequences 6A RNA